AGGAGUUUCCGUGCGCCACGAGGCGCUGGCGCGCGUCUCCCGGCCCAUCCACCCCGGGCCCGGCGACACCUUUCUUUGCCACCUGGAACCAACAUCUUGGUUCCCUUUUGAGGGAUCAGAACUUGUUUAAUUGGAAUACGGCAAAAUUCUGAAUUUUUCUGCCGUCUCUAUUCCAACUUCAGAGUUCUGCCGUCCAGCCCUGCGACAAUCUUCCGGUGCCAACGCGGCAGAUGGUGUCAGAAGCGGAGUCCAGAGUAGAGCUUCUAGGAACCUUCGGGAGUGCUGAGUGAACACGCAAGGUGCCUGCGGAACCCACUUGUGUCCAUUGACCUCUCCGAGUGGCCGGGGAUCGUGGGUAAGUUCCCUCUCGGAUUUCAGAGCUCCACAGAUUUGUGUUUUGAGCUCUCCGAGUUUCAUUGAGCAAAUAUCUGAUCCAAACUGGGUUUGGAAGCUGUGACAGAAACUGGACUGGUUCUGGGAAUGGAUCUGAUGUGGUAAUUAGCUGGCUUGGACCCAGUUAGAGGCCUCUUACAUGUGACUGGGUCAGAAAGAAACUGGUAGCAAAUGGUAAUAUUGCAGGAGGUGUAAAAUUUGGCUUUUAAAAAUUAACAGGGAUGUUUGUGUUCUACCCCUUUGUUUCAUUUUUCUUGUGCACUUAGGUAUUAAAAAAAAAAUUACUGGGUAAGUUAAUCAAGGGAACCUGAGAGUAAUGAAUGCCAAUAUUUUAGGUAAAAAUGGGAUCUUUUUUUUUUUUUUUUUGAGAUGAAGUCUCGUUUGGUCGCCCAGGCUAGAGUGCAGUGGCGCGAUCUCGGCUCACUGCAAGCUCCACCUCCCAGGUUCACGCCAUUCUACUGCCUCAGCCUCCCCAGUAGCUGGGACUACAGGCGCCCGCCACCACGCCCGGCUAAUUUUUUUUUUUUGUAUUUUCAGUAGAGACGGGGUUUCACUGUGAUGGCCAGGAUGGUCUUGAUCUCCUGACCUCGUGAUCUGCCCGCCUCGGCCUCCCAAAGUGCUGGGAUUACAGGCAUGAGCCACCACGCCCUGCCAAAAAUGGGAUCCUUAAAUUCUGAAAAACUGAGUUCCUUCUGGCUUAUACAUUAGGCACGGGAAGGAGCAAAGACUUACAGAAAUGGCAAAAUCUGCCUGAGCGUGGUGGCUCACGCCUGUAAUCCCAGCACUUUGGGAGGCUAAGGUGGGUGGAUCACCUGAGCUCAGGAGUUCGAAACCAGCCUGGCCAACAUGGUGAAACCCAUCUCUACUAAAAAGACAAAAAUUAGUGGGGCGUGGUAGCUUGUGCCUGUAGUCCCAGCUACUUAUGAGGCUGAGGCACGAGAAUUGCUUGAACCCAGGAGGCGGAGUUUGCAGUGAGUGGAGAUUGCACCACUGUACUCCAACCUGGGUGACAGAGCGAGACUCUGUCUCAAAAAAUAAAAAUGGCUGGGCGCAGUGGCUCACGCCUAUAAUCCCAGCACUUUAGAAGGCCAAGGCAGGUGGAUCACCUGAGGUCGGGAGUUUGAGACCAGCCUGGCCAACAUGGUGAAACUCUGUCUCUACUAAAAAUACAAAAAAUUAGCCAGGUGUGGUGGCAUGCACCUGUAAUCCCAGCUACUUGGGAGGCUGAGGCGGGAGAAUCUUGAACCCAGGAGGCUGAGGUUGCAGUGAGCCAAGGUUGCUCCAUUGCACUCCAGCCUGGGCAACAGGAGCGAAACACUGUCUCGAAAAUAAAUAAAUAAAUAAAUAAAAAUUAAAAAAUUAAAAUGAGGGCUCCCGAAAGUUAAAUCUGCUAAUCUUUCAGCUUCGUUACUAUCCUGAUCCAAAGGAAGCAGACUGCAGCACCAGUUGGCUGACUUUGGAUAAGUAAUGGGGUCCAUUUUACCUGAGUAAAGUAUGGGAUGGGGUCAGAGGCCCUCCCCUCAGUAAAGUCCCCCUUGGUUAAAAAUGGGUUAAAGAUGACAGGGCCCAGCUGGGGUCAAGUUUGAGCCUUGCGAGUUCAGUAUUGGGUGCUAAGCACAGUGGCCAGUGUCUGUGUUUUGUCACGUAUUUUGCUUUGGCGCCAUGAUGAAAAAAUGUUAAUUGGCUUACCCCACGCAACCCCUUCGGCCACACUUGCAAAACUAAGAGGCUUUUGCUUAAGGUUCCAUAAAACAGAAAAAGAAUUUCCUUUGUGAUGCCGCAGGCUUGGCCCUCAGGACUAUAGUGUGGCAAGCAGAGUCACUAGGACCACCUGGGCAAAGGGAACCUAGAAGCCUGGCAUGCUGGCAAAAGGUAAAGUAUUUCUUACCAAUUAGACUGUGGCCCCUCUGUGCAAACUGGUUAGAUGAACGGUAAAAAUCACUGUUUAUCUCCUCUGUAAUGCUUUGAUUAAUACAAAAAAGAAUUCUGAGGUUGGUCUUAGGAAGCUGUAAUAAAUCUGGUAUGCUUUGUGUCUUUCUGUAUUCUGUCACGAAGAGGGGUACCUUCGGAUGAAAUGCGUGCCCAGGGCCGCAUAAGCCCGCUGUUCAAGACGGCCCAGCAAACUGGUCAAUCAUGUCCUUGGAAGCUUAACCUCCUAAUACCAUGUGGCCCUGCUUUCUCUUUUCACAACGGCAGGCCAGGUUCAGGGUUCCAUUCCCGGCUUACUCAGCGAGUACUUUCUGGUGUCACCUUUACCAUGUGUUGAUUCUCUUCCCUCUGUUUCUUAUAGAACACAGAAAUAUUAGCUGUUUGGCCUAGCCAAGGUUGGGUAAUAAAAGAUUUAAAAGGACUUUUUAAAACAAGCGCUAUAGUUAAAACUCAGGUACAUUAAAAGUGGAUAUUUGGCCAGGCAUCGUGGCUCAUGCUUGUAAUCCCAGUACUUGGGGAGGCUGAGGCAGGUGGAUCACUUGAGGUCAGGAAUUCAAGACAAGCCUGGGCAACAUGGCAUAACUCUAUCUCUACUAAAAAAAAAAAAUUAGCUGGGCAUGUUGGUGCACGCCUGUAAUCCCAGCUAUUCAGGAAGGCGGGAAAAUUGCUUGAACCCGGCAGGCGGAGCUUGCAGUGAGCCAAGAUUUCACCACUGCGCUCCGGCCUGGGUGACAGAGCGAGACUCCGUCUCAAAAAAUAAAAAUAAAAUAAAAAUAAAAUAAAAUAAAAUAAAUAAAAUAAAAGUGUAGUGCUCGCUUCAGCAGCACAUAUACUAAAAUUGGAAUGCUACAGAGAAGAUUAGCAUGGCCCCUGCACAAGGAUGACAUGCAAAUUCAUGAAGCGUUCCAUAUUUUGUGCAUCCUGGCAAGAUCAUUUCUGUAUCUGCUAACUAGCACUAAAGAAAUAGUGUGAAUCUAAGCAAAAAUGAGUGGCACCCAAAAACAAAAUUGUGGUUUUCAUUAAAAAAUAUAAAUAUUUAUAUAAUAAAAUAUAUAUGAUAUAUAAAAAAUAAAAUAUGUAUAAUAAAAUAUACAUAAUAUAUAUAAAAUAAAAAAGUAUAUAAAAAAUAUAUAUGUGUGUGUAUAUUCAAAUUCUUUUUUUUUUUUUUGAGACGGAGUUUCACUCUUGUCACCCAGGCUGGAGUCCAAUGGCACGAUCUCGGCUUACCGCAACCUCCACCUCCUGGGUUCAAGUGACUCUCCUGCCUCAGCCUCCCGAGUAGUUGGGAUUACAGGCACCUGCCACCACGCCCAGCUAAUUUUUGUAUCCUUAGUAGAGACAGGGUCUCGCCAUGUAGGCCAGGCUGGUCUGAACUCCUGACCUUGGGUGAUCCACCCGCCUCGGCCUCCCAAAGUGCUGGGAUUACAGGUAUGAGCCACCGUGCCCGGCAAUGUAUAUAUUCAAAUUCUAACAGCCUGGGACUCCUUGGGAAAAACAGGAGGCACCAGAGACGCCAUUUUGGAAAAAAACCUGUUUUCCUCAUGGAACCACAGGAAUUGGAAAUGGAUAGAUUCCCCUUCAGAAAUCUAAGGCUCUGUUCUUUUUGGGAUUCAGGAUCUGGUAUAAAAAUGGGACCCUUAAUUUUUGGAGACCUGUGUUGCUUUCUGCUGUGCCCACUUAUUAUAUUGGGCCCUAGAAACUGCAUGCUUUCCUGGUCCUUUUUGUCCAAGGACUCCACCCUAAAGCCAGUAAUCUCAAAUAAAUAAAUAAACACCUAAAUCAAAUAUUUUGAAAGAACAAUAAAAACUAAUGCCUUUUAGUUCACAUAACUUUAGUAAUCUUUGGGAAAUAAAAAGUUUUAAAGAUUAUUGGGAAAAAUGAAGACAUUUAGUCUAAAUUAGGCAGGUCAGAUAUUAGGUUUGUUCGAUGCUUUAAGGUCAUCAACUGCUUCUUAGGCUUUUGAAAAUUGUUCAGUUUACCUACUUGGGAGCAUUAGAUUCUAGAUAAGGCCUGGGAACAUGUGGAAUUAGCCAUGCACUCUAUCUAUGCAAAGGUUAUAAAGAAAAGAGAUUUUUUUUUUAAUUAACAAAAACCACAGGUGGUUGUGCUCCGCCUACCCAGCACAGCAGGUGAGAUGGUGCACCCUCAGUGGACUGAAGAGGCCAUGGGAUCCCACCUCAGCCGGAUAGCACGCUGGCCUUCACCUUCAUUGUGCCAUGGCAGCUUUCGUGUGAGCCACUGACUCGUGUACAUGUUAGACUCCUUGGUCUAUAAGAAAGCAUCUUGUAUGGUAAAUUGUUGUUCUAAAGUAAAAUAACUGGUUUGUUCAAAAAGGGGAUGCUAAGGAGAAGUCAGAAAGUCAAAGCAUGUUGUAGAUGGUCUGGGAAAGUCGUGAAAGGGUUCGUGAAAGGAAAUUUAAGCCACCAAAAGUAAAAGUUGCUAGUUACCAUUAUAACAUAUGAUUGAAACUACUGAAAAAAUAGUUUUACAUGGAAAGUGUGUGAGAAGAGUGAAACAUGUUUUUGGUAAAAUAUUUUUAAAAGGCAGGAGAAUGUCAAAUUUCACCUAGUUGAGAGGGUUAUGUGAUUUUUAAAUUAGAUAAGAAUAAGCUCACGGUUUGAACAAGUUGUGGAAGGUUUGUAAAAACUAAUCUUGCAAAAAAAAUUCUGUGUGCAAACACGUUGACUAAAUUUAAAGGGGUAUUUUCCAGUUUUCCAUAAAUUAAACAUUGAAAUGAAAGGACAAACAGGGUUUCUUUUUUUGUUUUUUUGUUGCCCAGGCUAUGGGCAACUAUGUAGCUAGGCAUGUUGGUGCAUGCCUGUAAUCCCAGCUACUCAGGAAGCUGAGGCAGGAAAAUUGCUUGAACCCAAGAGGCAGAGGUUGCAGUGAGCCAAGAUCGCACCACUGCAUUCCAGCCUGGGUGACAGAGCAAGACCCUAUCUCGAAAAAAAAGAAAAAAGAAAAGCAAUAGCUCCCUGGGUGUCAGGUAUCAGUGAGAAUGGGAAGUCAGGUCUUCUCUGACUCCUAGGACAUUCCUCUCUCUGUCUUUGGGGGUUGAAUUCCUUGUUAGAACUCCAUCUUGUUAAAGGGGCCUCGCACCUGCCCUUGCCUUCUGCAGCAGCCCUCCUUAAUCCUCUCCAAACUUCCAUCUCCAGACCACCGGAUUCUCCUCAUGAGUGCCCUGGGUGGACAUUGGUGAAAGGUCACUGCCUUCAGGACACACCAUAGGUACAGUCACCGAGGUAACCCAGUUCAAAGAAGAGCAGGAUGUUCAGUAUUUACAAAGGGAUCUAGCAAUUGGUCCAAACCAGUCAGUGCUGGCAUGCACCGUUCAUCGUGCCAUCAGUGGCAAGAUGGAGAUCUGGCAAUGCAUGGCUCACAGUAAGAUACACGCCCUGUGCCAUUCCACCCUAUCAUUAGAAAAGGAGUCUUCUUUUUCUUUCUUUCUUUCUUUUUUUUUUUUUUUUGGAGACAGGGUCUCACUCUGUUGCCCAGGUUGUAGUGUAAUGGUGCAAUCUUGGCUCACUGCAGCCUCUGCCUCCUGGGGUCAAGUGAUCCUCUCACCUCAGCCUCCUGAGUGGCUGAGAUCACAGAUGCCAGCCACCACGCCUGGCUAAUAUUUUUGUUUGUUUGUGUUAUGUUUUUUGAGACUGAGUCUUGCUCUGUUGCACAGGCUGGAGUGCAAUGGCGCAAUCUCGGCUCACUGCAACCUCCACCUCCCUGGUACAAGCAAUUCUCCUGUCUCAGCCUCUCAAGUAGCUGGGAUUACAGGCGCCUGCCACUACGCCCGCCUAAUUUUUGUAUUUUUAGUAGAGACGAGGUUUUGCCAUGUUGGCCAGGAAUGGCCAGACCUCAAAUGAUCUGCCCGCCUAGGCUUCCCAAAGCGCUGGGAUUACAGGUGUGAGCCACUGCACCCAGCCAAUUUUUGUAUUUUUUUUUUUUUUUUUUUUUGUAGAGACAGGGUUUUGCCGUGUUGCCCAGGCUGAUCUCGAACUCCUGACCUCAGGUGAUCACCUUCCUUGGCCUCCCAAAGUGUUGGGAUUACAGGUGGGAGCCACCAUGUCCAGCCGCUUUUUCUUUUUAAAAAAAAUUUUUUUUGACAUAACAGACAACACCACUCUCUUUUAUUUUUUUAUAGAGACGGGGUCUCAUUAUGUUGACCAGUCUGGUCUUUUUAAAUUUUAUUUUUUUGAGAUGGAGUCUCACUCUGUUGCCCAGGCUGGAGUGUAGUGGCGGGAUCUUGGCUCACUGCAACGUCUGUACCCCAGAUUCAAGUGAGUCUCCUGCCUCAGGCUUCCAAGUAGCUGGGAUUACAGGCUCAUGCCACAUCGCUGGCUAAUUUUUUUUUUUUGUAUGUUUUUAAAUUUUAUCUUUUAAGUAGAGACAGGGUUUCCCCAUGUUGGCCAGGCUGGUCCUGAACUCCUGACUUCAGGUGAUCCACCCUCCUCAACCUCCCAAAGUGCUGGGAUUACAGGCAUGAGCCACCAUACCCAGCCUUCCUGCUAUUUUUGAACUACCUGUACCAGGCUGGUUUCUCUGGGUGAGGGGAGUGGUCAGGCAGAGGCAGGCCCCGUCAUGGUAAGCAGCUAGGAGACUGCUAGAGAUUGACAGGGCACUCAUGAGUGCCCUGGGUGGACACUGGUGAAAGGUCACUGCCUUCAGGACACACCAUAGGUACAGUCACCAAGGUAACCCAGUUCAAAGUAGAGCAGGAUGUUGGGUAUUUACAAAGGAGAUCUAGCAAUUGGUCCAAACCAGUCAGUGCUGGCAUGUACCGUUCAUCGUGCCAUCAGUGGCAAGAUGGAGAUCUGGCAAUGCAUGGGCUCACAGUAAGAUACACGCCCUGUGCCAUUCCGUAGACGUAGAUCAAGCGAUUAUUACUGCAGAAAUCUCCGUGGACGUAGAGCAAGCAAUUAUUACUGCAGAAAUUGCAGGAGCAGGUUCUGCAGCAUGUCACAUCCAAAGAAGCUUCCCUUGCAAGUUGGUAACCUUGAGGGCUUCAAUACCACACAGAGUUGGUCUAGGUGAUGGCUGACCAUCCAGGCAUAAUAAUUUGGGGAACAAUUCCAGGAUGGAGGUUAUGUUGCUAGACUUGUUUGUCCGGGAAAGUGGUAGACAGGAAGUUCCUGUCUGCACACGUCUCCUGGCUCCAGCCCUUUCCCCUGUCCAUCUGUCCUACAGACUCCGCCUCAGGCAUGUUGUCUUGGAGGACGUGCAGAAAGGCAGCCAUGCACUUUCUAGGUUUCGAUGCCGUCUUAGAGUCACUGGUCACCAGGUCUGGGUCAAACGGGAGUCUCUGGCUGUCAAGACUGGACUGGGAGGAAUCACAUCGCUUCUUCACCAUCAGCUUUAUCUGCUUUGCCUUUUCCGACUUCAGCUUUCUCUGCAGGGGGUAUCAGUGGGGUUGACAAAGAUUGACAUCUUUUUGUUAUCCUCAUCCCUAAUCUUGCCACUGACAUUCUUCAGUGCCUAGGCGAUGCUGGCAUUCUCCACAAAGAUGUGGGCCUGCAUUUUCUCAUAGCGAAACUGAAUCAGGAGGAAGGGGCAUUGCAUUGACUCUGAAUCAAAUUCAGCAGCCACUUCUCAUUUUAUGCAGAUCUUGAACUAGCAGCUCCCUAAGGUCCGAUCUGGCCUGUUUCCCUCUGUUCUUUUCUCUGGAGGUUUUUGGCGCUUUCUCUGUGUUAACAUGGGUUUGGUCUUGUUUAUGGCAAGUGCCUCUCCAUGGCUGGGUGCGGUGGCUCACGCCUGUAAUCGCAGCACUUUGGGAGGCCAAGGCUGGCGAAUCACCAGAGGUCAGUUCGAGACCAGCCUAGCCAACAUGGCGAAACCCCGUCUCUACUAAAAAUAUAAAAAAAUUAGCCAGGUAUGGUGGCGGGCGCCUGUGGUCCCAGCUACUCAGGAGGCUGAGGCAGGAGAAUCGCUUGAACCCGGGAGGCGGAGGUUGCAGUGAGCUGAAAUUGUGCCAUUGCACUCCAGCUUGGGUGACAGAGUGAGACUCUGUUUAAAAAAAAAAAAAGUAAGUAAAUAAAUAAAUGUUGAUAUUAUGUAGCCAUGUUAUGUAGUUUUGCAUAGCCUUUCUCUGUCUUAUAGCUAUGAAAGACAAUUUCCAAAACAUAGCCUAGAAUGGAGAAUUGAAGAUAAAGUGAGAACUGUUGGGCAUAGUAACCUAAAAAGGGAUCCCCUCUGGUGUGGAAAGAUUGUUCCAACGCAAAAGGGACUGAGAUCCAGAGAUGGCAGUUGUUUGAGAUCUGGAAUCUUCAGAAGAGGUAGAUCAGACUUGCUCAGGAAAUAAUGGGUCCUACCAUCACAGCGGGUACGGAUGGGGCUACAAGAUGAGAGAGGCUGGAUAGGAGAGUAUUUAAGGAAAAAAAAAAGACAGAAAAGGACCAAAGGACAGUCUGUGAGACCCCAGAGAAUGCAUUAAACCUGAAGAAUUUCUGAACAAUGACGUCUGAUAUUCAGGCUUCCGUUGUUUCUUUUUGUGCUGUAAUCUUCCGUGUUUUCUCUGCACAUAGCUCAGUAAAGCUCUAUUCACCAGUUAACCUAGAGUCUGUCUUGAGAUAAGCAGGGAGGGCUGUGACGGCUGCACAAGGGCGGAGUGGUUUGUAGACCUGAAAAGGAACUUGUAAGAGCUGGCAGAUCUUAACCAGGAGAGGGAGCCCCUUUCCACAGCCUAGAAGCUUCUGAAGUCAUUUAAAUGGAACUGAAUUAUAUGAAGUCAAAUGUCAGUUGGGGAAAAAGUCAAACUUUAUUAUUUAUUUAUUUAUUUGUAAUUGUG
rnacentral:lncRNA from 1 species